UACAGAGGUCUCAAGCGUUGUUCGGGUUCAUUGGGCGUAAAGGGUGUGUAGGUGGCGCCGUAAGUCGGGUGUGAAAUUUCGAGGCUUAACCUCGAAACUGCAUUCGAUACUGCGGUGCUUGAGGACUGGAGAGGAGACUGGAAUUCAUGGUGUAGCAGUGAAAUGCGUAGAGAUCAUGAGGAAGACCAGUGGCGAAGGCGGGUCUCUGGACAGUUCCUGACGCUGAGUCGCGAAGUCGAGGGGAGCAAACGGG
rnacentral:rRNA from 1 species